rnacentral:rRNA from 1 species
UACGUAGGUGGCGAGCGUUGUCCGGAUUUACUGGGCGUAAAGAGCGCGCAGGCGGUCGUUCAAGUCGCGUGUGAAAGCCCCCGGCUCAACUGGGGAGGGUCACGCGAUACUGAUCGACUCGAAGGCAGGAGAGGGAAGUGGAAUUCCCGGUGUAGUGGUGAAAUGCGUAGAUAUCGGGAGGAAUACCCGUGGCGAAGGCGGUCCACUGGGCAUCAACUGACGCUGAGGCGCGAAAGCGUGGGUAGCAAACAGG